rnacentral:rRNA from 1 species
GUCGGUGCUUCUAUCGCAGAGGGUCCACCCGUACCCAUUCCGAACACGGAAGUUAAGCUCUGCUGAGGCGAAAAUACUUGUCUGGCGACGGACCGGAAAAAUAGCUCAGUGCCGACA